rnacentral:tRNA from 1 species
GCACCCAUAGCUCAGUUGGAUAGAGCUGCAGUUUCCUAAACUGUGAGUCGUAGGUUCAAGUCCUAUUGGGUGCACCA